CACUGACGUCGCGACGCAUAUCAAUAAGCGGAGGAAAAGAAACUAACAAGGAUUCCCUUAGUAACGGCGAGUGAAGCGGGAAGAGCUCAAAUUUGAAAUCUUCAAGGUUUUACCUUGACGAAUUGUAGUUUAAAGAAGUGUUUUCUGUUAGUGGAGUGGCAAAAGUUCUUUGGAAUAGGACAUCAUAGAGGGUGAGAAUCCCGUAUUUGAUCCAUUAUUUCUAGCUAUGUGAUACACUUUCAAAGAGUCGGAUUGUUUGGGAAUGCAGUCCAAAAUGGGUGGUAAAUUUCAUCUAAAGCUAAAUAUUGGCGAGAGACCGAUAGCGAACAAGUACCGUGAGGGAAAGAUGAAAAGAACUUUGAAAAGAGAGUUAAACAGUACGUGAAAUUGUCAAAAGGGAAGCGUUUGACACCAGUGUUGUUUUCCGAAAAUCAAUUAUAAAUGUUUUGUUUCUGAGGAGUGAUGACUUCAUCGGCUUCCUUCUCUCUUCACGAAACUUUUGUAAUGCACUUUUCGGUUAACAAGUCAACAUCAAUUUCUUUUGUUGUAAAAGAGUAUUCGGAAGGUGGCUUUCUUUUCGGAGAAAGUGUUUAUAGCCCUAUACUUCUACAAUCGGAGAGAUUGAGGUCUGCAGCGUAGAUCCUUCGGGGUUAGAUACACUUGUGCUAAGUUAUAGCUUUUCAUAGACAACUUGUUGACUAUGUUUAGUCCUUGUAGGCUUACUCGCUUAUGCUAUUUUACCUACGCUUAGGAUGUUGAGUCGUAGAGCACGCAG
rnacentral:rRNA from 1 species